rnacentral:rRNA from 1 species
ACAGGGAUUGCCCUAGUAACGGCGAGUGAAGCGGCAACAGCUCAAAUUUGAAAUCUGGCUCUUUCAGAGUCCGAGUUGUAAUUUGCAGAGGGCGCUUUGGCUUUGGCAGCGGUCCAAGUUCCUUGGAACAGGACGUCACAGAGGGUGAGAAUCCCGUACGUGGUCGCUAGCUAUUGCCGUGUAAAGCCCCUUCGACGAGUCGAGUUGUUUGGGAAUGCAGCUCUAAAUGGGAGGUAAAUUUCUUCUAAAGCUAAAUAUUGGCCAGAGACCGAUAGCGCACAAGUAGAGUGAUCGAAAGAUGAAAAGCACUUUGGAAAGAGAGUCAAACAGCACGUGAAAUUGUUGAAAGGGAAGCGCUUGCAGCCAGACUUGCUUGCAGUUGCUCAUCCGGGCUUUUGCCCGGUGCACUCUUCUGCAGGCAGGCCAGCAUCAGUUUGGGCGGUGGGAUAAAGGUCUCUGACACGUUCCUUCCUUCGGGUUGGCCAUAUAGGGGAGACGUCAUACCACCAGCCUGGACUGAGGUCCGCGCAUCUGCUAGGAUGCUGGCGUAAUGGCUGUAAGCGGCCCGUCUUGAAACACGGACCAAGGAGUCUAACAUCUAUGCGAGUGUUUGGGUGUCAAGCCCGAGCGCGUAAUGAAAGUGAACGGAGGUGGGAACCCGCAAGGGCGCACCAUCGACCGAUCCUGAAGUUUACGGAAGGAUUUGAGUAAGAGCAUGGCUGUUGGGACCCGAAAGAUGGUGAACUAUGCUUGAAUAGGGUGAAGCCAGAGGAAACUCUGGUGGAGGCUCGCAGCGGUUCUGACGUGCAAAUCGAUCGUCAAAUUUGGGCAUAGGGGCGAAAGACUAAUCGAACUAUCUAGUAGCUGGUUCUGC